UACGUAGGUGACCAGCGUUGUCCGGAAUCAUUGGGCGUAAAGAGCGUGUAGGCGGCCAGAUAAGUCCGCUGUGAAAUCUCGAGGCUCAACUUCGAGCUGUCGGUGGAAACUGUCUGGCUAGAGUCCGGAAGAGGAGAAUGGAAUUCCUGGUGUAGCGGUGAAAUGCGCAGAUAUCGGGAGGAACACCAGUAGCGAAGGCGGCACUCUGGGCCGGUACUGGACGCUGAGGAGCGAAAGCGUGGGGAGCGAACAGG
rnacentral:rRNA from 1 species